rnacentral:rRNA from 1 species
AUUGAACGCUGGCGGCAUGCCUUACACAUGCAAGUCGAACGGCAGCGCGGGCUUCGGCCUGGCGGCGAGUGGCGAACGGGUGAGUAACAUAUCGGAACGUGCCCUGGAGUGGGGGAUAACUAGUCGAAAGAUUAGCUAAUACCGCAUACGAUCUACGGAGGAAAGUGGGGGACCGCAAGGCCUCAUGCUCGUGGAGCGGCCGAUAUCUGAUUAGCUAGNGGUGGGUAAAGCCUACCAAGGCCACGAUCAGUAGCUGGUCUGAGAGGACGACCAGCCACACUGGGACUGAGACACGGCCCAGACUCCUACGGGAGGCAGCAGUGGGGAAUUUUGGACAAUGGGCGCAAGCCUGAUCCAG